rnacentral:rRNA from 1 species
UACGUAGGCAGCGAGCGUUGUUCGGAAUUACUGGGCGUAAAGAGUGUGUAGGCGGUGUUCCCAGUCUGUUGUGAAAUCUCCCGCUUAACUGGGAGGGUGCGCCGGAAACUGGGGUGCUCGAGCGUGGGAGAGGAAAGCGGAAUUCCUGGUGUAGCGGUGAAAUGCGUAGAUAUCAGGAGGAACACCUGUGGUGUAGACAGCUUUCUGGACCAUUGCUGACGCUGAGACACGAAAGCGUGGGUAGCAAACAGG